rnacentral:tRNA from 1 species
GGAAGCCUUCGGGUCUGAAAGACGGAACAAGCUGUAAACGCUGUCUCGUGGAACUUUGCUUAGACGCGAGUUCGAUUCUCGCCACCUCCACCA